CGGGCAAAGCCCGUCUACUGAAAACGAUAAUGUUGACAAUGGUUUUCUUUCUCUUGGGAGCUUAUGCUCUUUCACCAAUUAUUACUAGUGCUAGUUGUCCGGAAAAUGAUGAUGGGUGGCCGGCAAGCGAUCGCUCUUUCAACGGAAAUUUUGCGGUCGAGCAGUGAGACGUUGGUUCUCCUCGACGACGGCUUUUGUGUCAGCGCUUGUUUCGCUACCGACGGAAAUGACAAUGCUGGAGCGAAGCGGAAUGCUGACUUGGUCCUCAAGUACACUCAAGCCAUGAUGACUACGAGCGCUCUCGGGUGGCAUCGCUUAAUCUUCGGGUAACCUUGUCGGCUUUGACUUGAGGAGGUGCUGGGAGGGUCGGGAGCCCGCAAGCUUUUUUUCCACGAUUUUAUCCCGCCAGAGACGCUACAAAAGCAUUCCGUGCUCGCCAACAAGAGCCUGACACCACCUGCAGUUCUUGGGCCCAAAAGCCAUUUUUCAUGGCUUUAUCCCGCAAGAGAUGCUACAAAUCCAGUCCGGGCUGUCCAGCAAGAGCCUGACGCCACCUGCAGUCUUUCGAGGUCGCUGGUUGCUGUGUCCAUGGCGUGCCGAUGCAUGGUGGUUGAAUCUAGUGGCUGAGCAAAACUGUGCGACAGUAUUCAAGAACAGUUUAUGGCCAAUCUGAACUCUCCAAGUUACUUGUUCAAAAGAACCUUUAAUACCGAUUCCCAAGGACGUGACCUUACUCAAUGUGUUUCUUUUACAACCACAUUUGCGGAUAUAAGCGAGGAUAAAAUUGAACAGGACAUCAAAUACUAUAACAAGUCAAGUCAAGAUUGGAGACGUUUCCACAAGACCUACAAAGUUACGAGCUGGGCUACCGGUGAAACAGCAAGGAAUUACUUCGAAUCACCUGGUCCAACUGGCAAACCCUUGAAUUACCUUGUGCUGUUAGCUGCCCAAGACUGCCUCGUAGCAAAGUUACUCUACCGGAGCAAUGUGUCUCAUCGUGCGUGCGAGUUCUUGGUGACAAAUGCCUACUUCGAGAACUCUGCGUCCUCCCAAUGCUGUGACAACGUGUAUGCCACCUCUUGUGAGAAAACUGCGCAAGUAUUGUAUCACCCGGGAAAUUGCUCUGCCUUGGAGAAAAAUACGAAAGGUUGAAGUAAAUCAAAGAAAGAUAUAAUUUGUGUCGCGAUCCAGGAGAUGGGAACAGAGGGCCGGUCAGUUUAAAUAAAUUAAUCAUAUUUUCUAUUGUU